rnacentral:rRNA from 1 species
AUGCGCUCCGACGAGCUCCCCGUCGACUCCGCCGGAGUGGAGCUGCAGCUCUUUCACGGGCACAACGACGGCGACGGCAGCGCCAGGUUCGUGGACGAGGAAGCCUGGGCAGAGUCAUCAUCGGCGACGGCUCUGGAUGUGGCGAAGCGGGCGGCGGUGGGAGUGGGCGCGCGGGUGCUCUUCUACCCGAAGCUGGCCUACAAGCUGGUGGCCGGCCGGUCGGCUCCGGGUAAAGCCUCGGAGGAGUCGUCGUCAUCGUCAUCGGCGACGACUCUAGACGCCGCGAAGCAAGCGGCGGUGGGCGUGGGCGCGCGGGCGCUCUUCUACCCGACGCUCGCCUACAGCCUGGCCCGGAACCGCCUCUCGCCGGCCGGCUUCAAGUGGUGGCACAAGAUCACGGACACCCACAUGCUCCUCGGCGCUGUCCCGUUCCCGAGCGACGUGCCGCGCCUCCGCGCCCUGGGCGUCACCGCCGUGGUCACGCUCACCGAGCCCUACGAGCGGCUCGUCGACGCGAAGCUGUACAAGGCCCACGGCAUGGAGAACCUGGUGCUGCCCACCACGGACUACCUCUACGCGCCGUCGCAGAAGGACCUCCGCGACGCCACGGCGUUCAUCCACGGCAAGGAGGGCGGCGGGCUGACCUACGUGCAUUGCAAGGCCGGGCGCGCGCGCAGCGCCACGGUGGUGAUGUGCUACCUGGUGCGGUACAAGGGGAUGACGACGAAGCAGGCGUACGAUCACGUGCGGUCGUGCCGGUCCAGGGUGUCGCUGGCUCCGGCGCAGUGGCAGGCGGUCCAGGACUUCGAGGACUUCUACCGGCGGCCGGCCGGUAGCUCGGAGUGA